UUGAGGGCGUGGCUCUCUGUAUUACUAUCCUGCGGUCGUUACUAAGGUUGGUAAAACUAGAGAAACAAGCGGUCGACAACAUUCAUCUCUGGGGGGAGGGGGGGUCUAACUCGGUGUUUCGUUGUGUUUGUUUACGCAGGAAUAUCCCUUUAAGCCCAUGUUGUGACUCCAAAUACAGAGUCCUGUUGCUCCUAAGCCUGUAGAUAUUGUUCAGCAUGAAUGGACUCUGAUUGCUGGAUCUAGACUCAGAGAUGUCCGGGUGGACCAUCUUCUCUUCCAUUUGGAGGACUCAGUGUCGAAGAUUUCUAACGAGAGCGUCAGACCGGAGACAGUUUCCCACUUCUCCUCAGUCCAGCUCAGGUGGGCUCGACCCUGGAGAACUGCAGGUGUUUGUGGACCACAAUGAUCUGGUUUUCAGUUUGAUCUGUUUUUGUGGAAGCAGCAGUGAACUGAGUUACAGUGAGAGGAAUAAGUUUGUGGAACAAUCUGAACAGAGAAACUAAAGAAGAUAAAUCAAAUUUGAUCUUCAGAGAAAGAGUCAAAGUCAGAAUGUCGAGUAAAUACAGAGAAACAUGUCCAUCGAAGUCUUGGUCUGUUUGUUUGUGAAAAAAUGUGAAUUAACGUGUUUUUUUCUUCUUCUGUUUGAAAAUAAGAAAUAAACUGUUAAAAGUCGUGUUGGCCUGCAGCUCUUUUUUAUUUUUUAUUAUGUUUAGUUGAUUAUUAUCUUGUGACAGAGGGGCAGACUGUGAGAGUUUUCUUCUUUCUGCUCCUUUUCAUUCACAUGUUUGAGGUUUUUCCUUCUUUGUAUCGAAGGUUUUAAAUAUUAACUGAAUGAAAUAAAGUAUAAAAUAAAAAAUCUACAUAAACCGUGUUGGUGGUGAUUUUGAGCCUGUAACAUCUGUUUCACUGUUUCACAGCUUUCACAGUUUUUCUGGAUGAAUCUUCUAAAUCAGAACUUUGACUUUUUUCCUGUUUGUUCGACAUUCACAGAUUUGGACGAGCGAAAAUAUUGAAUUGAAGCAUUAAGACUCAAGAUUAUUUGGAGAUGUGUUCUCUGACUGUAAUCACGUUUGGGGUCUAACCUUGAACAGUAUCUAACAGGAACUCGGCCUGUUCUGGACCUGGUUUUGCACCAUUUCGAUCUCCUCAAAGGUUAGAACUAAAAUAAAGACGAUAUUCAGGACUUAAAUCACGGUUUAUCUCCUCUUCAUGUUUUGUACGAGUUCAUGUAUUUAAUUUUUAUUUUAAUUCAGUGAUUUUUGCACUAAAUGGGAAGUCUGAUUGUGGGCGGGCUCUAAAUCGGCGCCCUGAUGAACUCAAACAACAAACUUUCCGUCUUCAUGUGAAAAUCAGUCGAAUAAAACCUGGAAAUGAACCUUUACGGACUCACCUUCGCCUCAGUGCGGACUCUCCCUCUCCUGCCGUGACGGCGAUUAAAACGCUCAGACCUUGACUCCACGCUCUGCCGUCUCAGCCGCUGUCUUCAUAAAUAACCGAGCGGCGUUAACGGCGGCGGUGUGAGCCAAAAACAUUCACACUGUAACACAUUAGCAUACUAAUUAAAACGCCGUUAUAUCCCACAGCAUGCAGAUCCUCACACUCCUCCCACUCACUAACACAGCUCCCUCUGGUCCGUCUCUGACCUCUGACCCCUCAGCGCCGCCACAAUGACACAUAUUUCAUUAAUCCUCGCCGCACUCAGGUGUAAUUAACGAGCCGGGGGAGCGACAGGAGGUGAAUAUCAAUCCGUCGAGCGUUGACGAUGUGGGCGGCGGCUCCUCUGUCCUCCUACAUGUUCAGAGGUGUCCAUCAAACGGAGAGCAGCGGCAAACACGGACGCUCCGGCAAAGGUCAUUCACGCUCAGGAUGCUGAUAUCAAAUCCUCCGCCAAGCUCUCAUGAUCUGUCAAUCUGAACGGCAGCCAUGAUGACUUCACAGCCGAUUCCACGAAGUCUGCGCCGCUCUGCCGCGACAAGAGACGAGGAAAAGGUUGAACGGAAUACAAGUUUAAUUUGAGAGGAGGGAGAAUCUGAGUCGAUAAAAAACGACCAAAUCAAAUUAUUUCACAGUAUCAGGUCACUUCAAAAUAAAAAAUAUUAAAUAAUCAAAGAAAAAGUGGCAAAACACAUCCGUGGAAUAAGAUCUUAAUGUUCCCGGUUCAAAUCUUUGCUGAUGAUGAGACGAUUUUUGUUAUAAUUUAACUCAUAGAACUCAGAUGACUCCAUUAAUAUAGUUUACAGUUUCUCAGGAACUAUACCGUGUACCUCUAUUGGAUCAAAAGUGUUCUAAAGUUUACCCUUUUGGCGAUCUAUCGAGGGUUUCCAGACAUUUCUACACCUGCCACAAGGUUUACAAUCCAGCCACAAAAACAGGAGUUUGAUCAGAGACGUUUGAUGGUAAAUCCGCAGUGAUAAACCGCUGAAAACAGGAUUAUUGAUCAGAUUAUUGUGAUUAAAAAAAAGAUCCCUAUCUCUAAAUGCCGCUAAUGUCUUCCAGGUUUGACAAACUGUUUUUAUGACGUCUUUUUUGUCAAACUUUCGACCAAUUACACGUUCUCAUAUUCUUCUUCUAUCGUUCCCUUGACGGUAGUGUCCAAUAAGAGACAAGAAAGUUCCCUGCUUGUCUGUAAAAUCUGAAAUAAUGUUCAUCAAUGUUUGGAAACAAGUAAAGAAGAGAUUCUGAACAGUAUGAUGUGGUCCUCUGUCUCAUCCAGACAGGAACUGCUUCAAGGAGCGGCAGAAACAACUGUAAAUAGUCAAAAACACCUGGAAGAAUGAGUGUAAAUAUGUCAAUAGUUUCUGUUGUGUGUUUGUUCCAAUCCUAAUAUUUCUUCUCCUGAGAGCCAAGACAUGAGAAAGCAAAGGAGUUUAAUGGAGCAAAGUGCUGUUGGGAUCAGCUUCUGUUUUUGUUCUUUGGUUGACUUUGAUGGUUCUGGAUCUACUGUCACAUUUAUUUUACAUCAUUUUUGCUCCAUAAACUGAAGCUGAGGUUGUCCUGAAAAAAGAGACGCGUAUAAGCGGACUAAAAACAGCUAAAUAUAGCUGUGUGUUUGAAGGGUAAAAGACUAACAGGAAAUGUGCUGCACUGAACAACAAGAAGACCAAUCAUUGUUCAGGGUUUUAGGAUCAGCAGGACUCCAAUGUUUUCAUCAGCGCAACAGGAAACGAUCCAAAACUGAGAGCGAAAUCAACCUGCUGCACAAACUCUUUAAAGAUUUGAUCUGAGACGUUUGACAUGCAGAGAUCCCUCUAAAGACCACGACGAUGAGGGUCUGAAACUGUAUGGAAACAAGUCCAGGUUCAGUGUGUUGCUCAACCGGAGUUUCUUCUUCAGGCGCCAAAAAAACGACCAGAAACAGAAUUCUGACUAAAGUCUGGUCCUGUUCGGUCCGCCUCAGAGACUCAGAUGUUUGAAGCGGCUCGAACAAUAAUCCAGCAGACGGGGAGGAUGAUGUGUGAGUGUGAAAGUUUACUCCUCAGAGCCGUCUCACCUUUGAAUGAUCUCCACGCCGACCUUCCCCGACAUGAAAGUGAUAUUUGGACGUCCGCUGAAUGAAGCGGCCUCAGAGGGAAACGUCUUGAGUCGGCUUCAUACGGCUCUCCACGCUGAAAAGAUGAACCCUCUGCUUUAUCUGCCGCUCUUUAUUCUCCUCUAAUUAGCCAUCAGCGUGGAGCCGCUCUCCGUCUCUCCGUGGCCGAGCCGCGGCACAUCCUUUUCUUCUGGCACCUUUUGGGAAAUUAAUUCAUUUAUUGCUAAAGUGUCUUAAUAAUUACAGUGACAUGGAGGUUAAUUGCCUAAUCUCUAUAGCCAUGGAGGCAUCCCGAUGAAAUCCCCACACAAUCUGUUACAGAAACAGCAGCCAGAAGAUCCUCUGUAACCAGAGGGGACGCUCUGACCCAAAUAAAGUUGUUUUUUUUUUCCUUUCUCUCUCUUUUAACAUCCAGCAGGUAGCGGACAGGGAGCUCAGGUACGCUGUCAUUAAUUUCCCACUUUGAUUUAAGGUUGGAAACUUGUUCUGGAGCUGAGGGAGAGAGAGAGAGAGAGAGAGGGAGGCUGUCUGAGUGCUCUAAAAUAUGGAGGUCCACUCUCACAAUGUCAGCCAAGGACUCCUGUUACUACCUGUAAAAUAAAAGUGCCACAAUUUCCCUUUAAUCCUCAACGCCUGAAAUAUGACGAGAAGUCUUUUUCUUUCCUUUCAUGAUCGGAUUCGUCCUUCAAGAUUUCAGAAAUCUGCACAUGCAAAAGUUGAGAAAGUCUGAAGUCAUUCGGAGAAAAUUUCCAAACUACAAUUAUUCCCUUCAAAGUAAAAGUCCGAUAAUCAGAGUUCAAAAAGGCCUCACCUGGAAAAUCUGUCACCAAUUUACAGAAGAAAUUUACUCACCUGCUUCAAAAGUUCAAAACUAAUUCUUUAUUAAAACAGAUCAGACCU
rnacentral:lncRNA from 1 species